CAACUUUCAGCAACGGAUCUCUUGGCUCUCGCAUCGAUGAASAACGCAGCGAAAUGCGAUAAGUAAUGUGAAUUGCAGAAUUCAGUGAAUCAUCGAAUCUUUGAACGCACCUUGCGCUCCUUGGUAYUCCGAGGAGCAUGCCUGUUUGAGUGUCMUUAA
rnacentral:rRNA from 1 species